CGGUUUUAUCACCAAAUACAGAUCUGACCGACCCCUUAUAUACGAUUCAGGUCAGGCCUCUGUCUAAACCAGGUGCUUGCUUGUCUAAAGGGGACCCUGCUUGUUUCACAGAUUAGAGAGCCAAUAUUUUAACAACACCAGGCUCAGCACCAAUACUUCCAGGAAACGAUGUGCUGUGAUAUAAGGCCCAGAAAUAUAUCAUCUUCUGUUCAGAAGAAGUGAGUUGGUCCCAUGCCAGCUGAGCUUUGCACUGGAUGUUUGGAUGCUCCUGAGGCAAAGAACCUGAUCUCUGGUCUUGGAGGAGGUUGAGUCAGGAGAGAAGUAACAGACUGAGCAUUUGGUCAAAG